AAGAAUAUUUUGAAAAUAAAUCAAAUUAAUUUUGAAACAUUUUCUAAAAUGUACAAGUUUGAAUAUUUAUAAAAAUUCAUCCACGAAAAAUUUAGAAAAUUCUCAAAAGAAAUUCAAUAAUAUUAAAAAAGAAACUAUUAUUAACUCCAAAAGAGAACUUUAAAAAAAAAAAAAAUUCAAAAGAGAACUUAAUUUUUGCAUUUAAUUGUUUUGGUUAAAAAAAAUAUAUUUUUAUUAAGAAAAAAUUCACCAACUUGUGUAUUCUCGACUUGGGCUCAAUAGGCCCAAAUAAAAAUAUUUUAUUAUUAAAAGACGCCUCAACUGAAGUACGAAGAGAAGUAACGACUUCGGGACCUUUCAAAAGGAACACUCUAUAGGCAGCUGCUACUUUCCUCACUCAGCUGGUAAGUGAUAGAAUCAUUUUGCUUCUUUUGAAGAACUUUGAAUCUUCAAUGAUGGAUCUGUAGAUAGUUGCAGAGCUAGAGACUAUCUUCUUGUUUUGGUAAGCAAAAAGUAAAACAUGCCAUAAAAAUGAUAGAGAGAACUUCAUUUAGUCCUUACCUUCUCUCCCAUGGCCGAGUUACCCAAACCUCUCUCUCCAAAGCUUCUUCUGAAACUCCUCAAAGCAGAGAAAAGCCCCAACUCAGCUCUCUGCCUUUUCGACUCAGCGAGUCGCCACCCGGGUUACGCCCACACGCCCGCAGUCUUCCACCACAUCCUCCGACUACUCUUUGACCCAAGACUCGUCACUCACGUGACCCGAAUCGUUGAAAUGAUUCACACCCAGAAUUGUAAAUGUUCAGAGGACGUUGCUCUAACAGUGAUCAAGGCCUAUUCGAAGAAUUCAAUGGUUGAUCAGGCGUUGGAUAUUUUUCAGAGAAUGGAUCAAAUUUUCGGUUGCAAACCCGGUAUAAGAUCAUACAAUUCUAUGCUUAAUGCCUUCGCUGUAUCGAAUCGGUGGGAUCGAGCUCAGUUGUUUUUCAGGUACUUCGAAACAAUGGGCGUGUCGCCCAAUUUGGAGACCUAUAACGUGUUGAUCAAAAUUUCUUGUAAGAAAAAUCAAUUUGAAAAGGCAAAGGAGUUGUUGGAUUGGAUGUGGAGUCGAGGUUUGAGGCCUGAUGUGUUUAGUUAUGGUACAGUGAUCAAUGGGCUUGCGAAGAUUGGUAAGGUAUCCGAUGCGUUGAUCCUGUUCGAUGAAAUGUUUGAGAGAGAAGUGACUCCUGAUGUGAUGUGUUACAAUAUUCUGAUUGAUGGGUUUUUCAAGAAAGGUGAUACUAUGAGGGCUAAUGAGAUUUGGGAGAGGUUGUUAAGAGGGUCUACUGUUUAUCCAAAUGUCACCACUUAUAAUGUUAUGAUUAAUGGCUUGUGCAAGUGUGGGAAGUUUAAUGAGAGUUUGGAGAUUUGGCAUCGGAUGAAUGAAAAUGAGCGGCAACAUGAUUUGUUUACUUACAGUACUCUGAUACAUGGGUUGUGCAAGUCCGGAAAUGUUGAUGGGGCUUCAAGAAUUUAUGCAGAAAUGAUCCGGAACGGGGUGUCUCUUGAUGUAGUGAUAUACAACGCACUGCUUGAUGGGUAUUGUCGAGCCUCAAAGAUUGAAAAAUGUUUUGAGUUGUGGGAUCUGAUGGGAAAGGAAGGUUGUCGAAAUGUUGUUAGUUACAACAUAUUGAUCAGAGGGUUGUUUGAUAAAGGGAAGGUGGAUGAAGCAAUUUCUAUCUGGGAACUAUUGCCAGAGAAAGGUUGUGUUGCAGAUCCCACAACUUAUGGUGUCUUGAUUCAUGGAUUGUGUAGACAUGGCUACUUGAACAAGGCUUUGUGGGUCUUGAAAGGGGCAGAAGAUAAAGGAGAUACUCUGGAUAUAUUUGCUUAUUCCUCUUUGAUUAAUGGCUUAUGUAAAGAAGGAAGAUUAGAUGAAGCAGUUAAUAUGCUUGAUCGGAUGGCUAAACAUGACUGUAAACCAAAUCCUCAUGUUUGCAAUGCACUGAUCAAUGGUUUUAUCCAUGCUUCUAAAAUUGAAAAUGCAAUUCGGCUUUUUCGUGAAAUGUUUACUAAGGAUUGCGUACCAACUCUUGUAACCUACAACACUCUAAUUAAUGGAUUAUGCAAAGCAGAAAGAUUUGAUGAAGCCUAUGUCCUAGUGAAAGAGAUGCUGGAAAAAGGGUGGAAUCCGGACAUGAUCACAUAUAGCUUGCUGAUGGAUGGCCUUUGUCAAAGUAAAAAGACUGACAUGGCCCUUAACUUGUGGUUUCAAGUGCUUGAGAAGGGCUUCAAGCCCGAUGUAACCAUGCAUAACAUUAUAAUACAUGGCCUCUGCUCUACAGGGAAAAUUGAGAUUGCUUUGCAGCUAUAUUUCAGGAUGGGGAAGUCAAAUUGUGUUCCAAACCUUGUGACCCACAAUACUGUCAUGGAAGGGCUUUACAAAGCCAGGGAAUGUGAAAAGGCAUCAGCGAUUUGGGCCUGCAUUUUAAAAGCCGGUUUACAGCCAGACAUCAUCACCUAUAAUAUUGCCCUCAAGGGCCUUUGUUCUUGCAAUAGAAUGUUAGAUGCCAUUGGAUUCUUAGAUGAUGCUCUGGAUCGGGGAAUAAUGCCAACUGUCAUCACAUGGAACAUACUUGUCAGAGCAGUGCUUAACAAUUAGGAUCCUACACAAUCCUUUUGCAAUUAAAAGAUCACAGAAGUAUAAGUUCCUAACUCCUAAACUUCCUUGUUUUUGUUGAUUUUUAAAUUUUUUUUAUACAUCUGCAAGAAAAGCUAAUUAAUGAUUGCAGUGUUGUCUUUUUAAGCUUCCUUGUGUAUACAGAUGCUCAGUAUGAGUUCUAGCAAAAUGAAUUGCUGGAAUCAUUGUCUAUUAUCCAAAAUUUCGGGAUUGAGAGUUAUCUUAUCCUACAUUGAUGCCAAGGAAUCACUGAGCGUGCACAUGAAGACAUGUUGGAUUAGAAGAAUCUUUUCCUUUCACAGUUGUUAAUUCUUGCAGGCUGGAUAUGAUAUCCACACUUGUUCUAUAAUACCGUGUGAGCCUUCUUUGACUCAGCUAGCUGGAAGAAUGGUAAAUUCUCCAGAAUCAAGUUCACUAUCAUCACUCAUCAAGUUCAAGUAUCUAUAGCCUAAUUAUUUGGUUAUGCUCUUUGCAUGUAUAAUGUCAUUCGUCAUGUAGAUUAUUUACACUUUUGGGAUUGGGUACUGCUUAAAAGAUUUGACCAGAAACCGCAUCUAAUGUUCAUUUUUUUUCUUUUUUUCCUUUUGUGUGUGUAUAAUUUAUAUGUAAUGUUUCAGGAAAUUAUGGAAUGAUAAUCACAAAACAGAUGUGAUAUUCAGCCAACUUCUUAAUUUUUAGGUCAGGCAUUGGCAUUAAGCUGUCAAGUUUUUUUUUCUCUCUGAAAGACCAGAAAUAGGUAAUUGCCUGUUCUUUCGGGUUUGCUUUGAUGAAAUGCAGAAAAAAUACCUCUCCUUGAAGAUGUUUUCAAAU